CGUGCAGGCGGCUUCGUAAGUCGUGCGUGAAAGCGCUCAGGCUCAACCGGGCGAGGACGUGCGAAACUGCGGAGCUGGAGGUAGGUAGAGGUCUGUGGAAUUCCGGGUGUAGUGGUGAAAUGCGUAGAGAUCCGGAGGAACACCAGUGGCGAAGGCGACAGACUGGACCUGACCUGACGCUAAGACGCGAAAGCAUGGGGAGCGAACG
rnacentral:rRNA from 1 species